ensembl:lncRNA
CGGACACCUUGGCUUACCCGUUGCCGUGUUCUUUUGUUCUCAGAAUGAGAGAUUCUCCUCCACGACAUCACCUCUCCUCAUCUCCUUCCCAGCCACUUUGGCAAGUUGUGUUCUACCUCCUACUCACAGCACCAGCGGGGAGUGAGAACUGGGACUAAGAGGUUGAUUUGGGGCCUGCUACACUGUAAUCAAAUGAGACUGCUUAGGGGAGAGGAGAAGGAGGAGGUGGAGUAUUAUGUUCUGUCAUGCAUUCCACUGCAGCAUUGUUGCUUUUUUGUUUUUGUCAGGGCAGGCUUUGAUGCUGUAUCCUCUUACCUUUGUAGUCCCGGUAGCCAUGUUUCAUAAACACGGAAUGGGAAACAUCCUCAGCAUUAGAAAUUUAGAUUGCUGCUUUCCUCCUGCCACUCUGCAUUCCGCACGUGCCCGGUCGCAUUCUCCAUCUCCCAAUGCUGAGGUAUUAAGUUUCCUCUCCCAUGCCUCUGAUACAUUUAAACAUCUUACAAUCAGUCCCUUUUAUUCGGUGUGUCAUGUAUAAUCUGCGGAAACAACAAUGCCAACAUGGCUCUAUGUUGCUCUCGCUCUCUUGGUACUUAAGAAGUCUGCUGUCACUGUUUUGUUUCAGGACAAUUGCACUUGCAAAAUGCUUACUUGCUUUAAAUUGAGAAGUUGCUAGGUAUUCAAUUUAGAACUUGUCUUCAUUAUUAAGAAUGUAAUAUUAAUGUCAAGCUAUCUUUCUUUGUAUUUUCACAAAGGGAAUAGGCAGUGCAUGGUUGUCUUUGUAGUUAACCGAAAGUCUCAGUGGGAUAACAGUGUAUUAUAAUCCUUAAUCUAUCUUAACUCAUUAAAAUGCAGUGUUCAGUUCUGCUGGCCAAAUUUUAUUGUCUCGUUGCAUUUUUAGUGAUAUGAGAGAAAUUUCAUGUGUAAUUGAAUAUUUAAAUGUCAGACACUGACGAGAAUCAUUGCAAAGUCCUGAAAUUACUGCCACAUAUAGGUAUAUAAUAUACUUAAGAAAAAAAGUUAGAUAAGAUGCAAAUCUAUAUUUGUCAGCAGAAUCGUCCUCUGUAACACACUGUGCCUCAGUUCUCUCUUUUCUUCUACCUCUUCUUCUUCUUGGAAAGUAACCAUUUUGUCCGACAUCUGACACACUGCCCUGGGUUAUUGAGCCAGACGUGGAAAUCCAAAGCGGAGAUGCUCUCCUUAAUGCCUGACACCUGGUGCAGAUUUGGAAGGGAUUGCACUACAGGCUGCGUCCAGUUCUGUCACUGGUCCUUAGUGCUCCAGCAGCCUGGUCAAAAAGACAUCCUGGCAGGGUCCCAGGGUGGAUGCAUCGCCCACGCACGCUGCUCUUGCCAGAUCCCAGAAGUCUUUGUGGUGAACCACUGACCGUGCUGCUCCCUAUUUUCUUCCAACCCAGCAAAUAAUGUGUCAGAAAAAGAUUAUUGAUAGCCCAUAAAAGAAGAGGCAGAAUGUUGUUGCCACUCUGCUCCAACUUUAAGGAACAAUACAAGUGCUAAACCAUCAGUUUCAAUGGUGCACUGCUCCUGAAAGAGCACAGCAUUUAUUUUUCACAUUGUUGUUCAGUUUGAAUAAAAGGUGCUACAACUGGAACAUGAACAGACAACAAUUACUUCUAUUUUUUUUAAAUGCUGCUUCAUUUUCCUUUACAUUUGAAACCUUGUAGUGAAGUUGGCAACUUUGUACUGUGUCUAUUCAAAAGAAAAAUGAGAUCCCUCAAAAGAAACAUUGAAAUUUUCUCCAUGCUCUGUUGAGUCAUUCGCAUUUUUUGCCAACUUUACCAGACACUGGCGAAGCUGUUGCUCAUCUGGCCUAAAUGUGGCCUGAGUGGGUGAUUCUCAGACAGAUGAGGG